UUUGGCAAUCUUCUCGUUCAAAGUUGGCGGAUUUUGUCGGGAAUAGUUCUCGUUUUCCGUGCCGUGAGUGUAAAUCCAGUUGAAUGGGAUUAUUCUGCGAAACUAUCGUUUAGUGGUGUGUGAAUAAAAUAGGAUCACAAUGACCAAGGAUAGAUUAGCAGCUCUCGUAGCGGCCCAGAGUGACGAUGACGAUGUGGGCCCCGAUGAUGUCGCUGUCAAUGUGGAAGGACGAGAUGGAUUUAUGGAUGCUUUCUUUGGAGAGGUGGAAGAGAUACGGGAAAUGAUAGAUAAGAUUCAGGCGAAUGUGGAGGAAGUCAAGAAAAAACACAGCGCCAUUUUGUCAGCUCCUCAAAGUGACGACAAAACUAAACAAGAAUUGGAGGACCUGAUGAGCGACAUCAAGAAAACUGCCAACAAAGUUCGUGCCAAGUUAAAGGUCAUAGAACAAAGUAUAGACCAAGAAGAGACCACUAACAAAAACUCGGCGGACCUGAGGAUACGAAAGAUACAGCAGUCGACGUUAUCUAGGAAAUUUGUUGAAGUGAUGACGGAAUACAAUAGGACGCAGACCGACUACAGGGAGAGGUGUAAAGCGAGAAUAAUGAGGCAGUUAGAGAUCACGGGAAGAACAACAACAAAUGAAGAAUUAGAAGAUAUGUUAGAACAAGGAACUUCUACCGUCUUUACACAAGGUAUUAUAAUGGAGACGCAGCAGGCCAAGCAAACCCUGGCGGACAUCGAGGCUCGACAUGCCGACAUUAUCAAAUUAGAAAAUUCAAUUAGGGAACUCCACGACAUGUUCAUGGACAUGGCCAUGCUGGUGGAAAAUCAGGGCGAGAUGAUAGAUCGCAUCGAGUUCCACGUGGAGCACGCCGUGGACUACGUGCAAACGGCCACCCAGGACACCAAAAAGGCCCUCAAGUACCAGAGCAGGGCCAGGCGGAUAUUUCCUAUGCUAUUCUAAAGUUUACAGUGGAACAUCAUAAUUUUUAAAAUUAAACAUCUCUUUAUGCUCAAACAAUACAGUGAACAGUAUUUUUUAUCGUAGUUCGUAUUGUUGUAUGGGAACAAAUUUUUAAUUUUAUGGAAACAUGAAAAAGAUCUUCAUUAUCAUUUGCCUAGUAGUCCUUCUCGUCAUUCUAAUAAUAAUUUUAUCCACAACGCUUUAGGACUAGUGAGGGACCUCUCGAUAAAAAUUUGCAAUAUAUUCACACCUCUGUACAGGGUGGGU